GACGAACGCUGGCGGCGUGCUUAACACAUGCAAGUCGAACGGAAAGGCCCCUUUGGGGGUACUCGAGUGGCGAACGGGUGAGUAACACGUGAGUAACCUGCCCUUGACUUCGGGAUAACUUCAGGAAACUGGGGCUAAUACCGGAUAGGAAUCCUUGCUGCAUGGUGGGGGUUGGAAAGCUUCGGCGGUUUUGGAUGGACUCGCGGCUUAUCAGCUUGUUGGUGGGGUAGUGGCUUACCAAGGCUUUGACGGGUAGCCGGCCUGAGAGGGCGACCGGCCACAUUGGGACUGAGAUACGGCCCAGACUCCUACGGGAGGCAGCAGUGGGGAAUAUUGCACAAUGGGCGGAAGCCUGAUGCAGCAACGCCGCGUGCGGGAUGACGGCCUUCGGGUUGUAAACUGCUUUCAGCAGGGGCGAAGCUUGUGGUGACGGUACCUGCAGAAGAAGCACCGGCUAACUACGUG
rnacentral:rRNA from 1 species